GACGAACGCUGGCGGCGUGCUUAACACAUGCAAGUCGAACGGAAAGGCCCUGCUUUUGUGGGGUGCUCGAGUGGCGAACGGGUGAGUAACACGUGAGUAACCUGCCCUUGACUUUGGGAUAACUUCAGGAAACUGGGGCUAAUACCGGAUAGGAGCUCCUGCUGCAUGGUGGGGGUUGGAAAGUUUCGGCGGUUGGGGAUGGACUCGCGGCUUAUCAGCUUGUUGGUGGGGUAGUGGCUUACCAAGGCUUUGACGGGUAGCCGGCCUGGGAGGGUGACCGGGCACAAUGGGACUGAGGUACGGCCCAGACUCCUACGGGAGGCAACCGGGGGGAAUAUUGCACAAUGGGCGGGAGCCUGAUGCAACAACGCCGGGUGCGGGAAGACGGGCUUUGGGUUGGAAACCGCUUUCGCCUGUGACGAAGCGUGAGUGACGGUAAUGGGUAAAGAAGCACCGGCUAACUACGUG
rnacentral:rRNA from 1 species